rnacentral:rRNA from 1 species
GAUGAACGCUUGCGGCAGGCUUAAUACAUGCAAGUCGAACGCUGGAGAUCUAGCUUGCUAGAUCGAAGGAGUGGCGAACGGGUGAGUAAUACAUAAGCAACCUACCCACGAAGACUGGGAUAAUCUCUGGAAACGGGGACUAAUACCGGAUAGGUAAUCGGAAGGCAUCUUCUGGUUAUUAAAGGUUAAAAACACUGGUGGAUGUGCUUAUGGCGCAUUAGUUAGUUGGUGAGGUAACGGCCCACCAAGACGAUGAUGCGUAGCCGGCCUGAGAGGGUGAACGGCCACAUUGGGACUGAGACACGGCCCAGACUCCUACGGGAGGCAGCAGUAGGGAAUUUUCGGCAAUGGGGGCAACCCUGACCGAGCAACGCCGCGUGAGUGAAGACGGCCUUCGGGUUGUAAAGCUCUGUUGUAAGGGAAGAACGGUAGAUAGAGAAUAUCUAAGUGACGGUACCUUACCAGAAAGCCACGGCUAACUACGUGCCAGCAGCCGCGGUAAUACGUAGGUGGCGAGCGUUAUCCGGAAUUAUUGGGCGUAAAGGGUGCGUAGGCGGCCUGUUAAGUAAGUGGUUAAAUUGUUGGGCUCAACCCAAUCCAGCCACUUAAACUGGCAGGCUAGAGUAUUGGAGAGGCAAGUGGAAUUCCAUGUGUAGCGGUAAAAUGCGUAGAUAUUGGGAGGAACACCGGAGGCGAAGGCGGCUUACUGGACGACAACUGACGUUGAGGCUCGAAGGCGUGGGUAGCAAACAGG